CGGUGGAGGGCACAAUAAUGGUAACCACGGUUGGGGUGUGAAUGUUGGUUGGCCCAAUGGGGGUGUCAAUGUUGGUGGAGGGCGUAAUAAUGGUAACUCAGGAUGGGGCUUUAAUUUUGGUUCACAAGGAAAAAGGGAUAUUGUUCCAGCUAUGUACGACUUUGGAGAAGGAAAAGGUCAAGGCUCGAAUGAUAUGGAAAAAUAUGAAUGAGACUUGUCCUGACUUGUUCAGCUCCAACACGGAAAAAAAACUUUUAAACUCGAUUUUGCAACAGUUGUUGAUAAUUAUAACGAUUCAGAUAUAAUUCUGUAAUUGCAAAGAACUCGAAUAAAAGAUUGAAAUGGAG